CAUACCUACGGGGCGCAGCAGUAGGGAAUUUUCGUCAAUGGGCGCAAGCCUGAACGAGCAAUGCCGCGUGAACGAGGAAGGUCUUCGGAUCGUAAAGUUCUGUUGAAGGGGAAAAAGAGCGGAGAGAGGAAAUGCUUUCUGAUUGAUAUUACCCUUCGAGGAAGUCACGGCUAACUACGUGCCAGCAGCCGCGGUAAUACGUAGGUGGCAAGCGUUAUCCGGAAUGAUGGG
rnacentral:rRNA from 1 species